AGUGAACGCUGGCGGUAGGCCUAACACAUGCAAGUCGAACGGCAGCACAGUAAGAGCUUGCUCUUACGGGUGGCGAGUGGCGGACGGGUGAGGAAUACAUCGGAAUCUACUUUUUCGUGGGGGAUAACGUAGGGAAACUUACGCUAAUACCGCAUACGACCUACGGGUGAAAGCAGGGGAUCUUCGGACCUUGCGCGAUUGAAUGAGCCGAUGUCGGAUUAGCUAGUUGGCGGGGUAAAGGCCCACCAAGGCGACGAUCCGUAGCUGGUCUGAGAGGAUGAUCAGCCACACUGGAACUGAGGCACGGUCCAGACUCCUACGGGAGGCAGCAGUGGGGAAUAUUGGACAAUGGGCGCAAGCCUGAUCCAGCCAUACCGCGUGGGUGAAGAAGGCCUUCGGGUUGUAAAGCCCUUUUGUUGGGAAAGAAAAGCAGCAGGUUAAUACCCCGCUGUUCUGACGGUACCCAAAGGAUAAGCACCGGCUAACUUCGUG
rnacentral:rRNA from 1 species